UACGAAGGGGGCUAGCGUUGUUCGGAUUCACUGGGCGUAAAGGGUGCGUAGGUGGUGAGGUAAGUCGGAUGUGAAAGCUCGGAGCUCAACUCCGAAAUGGCAUUGGAAACUACCUUGCUCGAGGGUUGGAGGGGGGACUGGAAUGCUUGGUGUAGCAGUGAAAUGCGUAGAUAUCGGGAGGAACACCAGUGGCGAAGGCGGGUCUCUGGACAGUUCCUGACGCUGAGGCACGAAGGCCAGGGGAGCAAACGGG
rnacentral:rRNA from 1 species